rnacentral:rRNA from 1 species
AGUAACGGCGAGUGAAGCGGCAACAGCUCAAAUUUGAAAUCUGGCCCCCCCCGCGGGGCCCGAGUUGUAAUUUGCAGAGGAUGCUUUUGGCGCGGCGCCUUCCGAGUUCCCUGGAACGGGACGCCAUAGAGGGUGAGAGCCCCGUCUGGUCGGACGCCCAGCCUCUGUAAAGCUCCUUCGACGAGUCGAGUAGUUUGGGAAUGCUGCUCUAAAUGGGAGGUAUAUGUCUUCUAAAGCUAAAUAUUGGCCAGAGACCGAUAGCGCACAAGUAGAGUGAUCGAAAGAUGAAAAGCACUUUGAAAAGAGGGUUAAACAGUACGUGAAAUUGUUGAAAGGGAAGCGCUUGUGACCAGACUUGGGCGCGGCGAAUCAUCCGGCGUUCUCGCCGGUGCACUUCGACGCGCCCGGGCCAGCAUCAGUUCGCGGCGGGGGACAAAGGCGCCGGGAACGUGGCUCCCCCGGGAGUGUUAUAGCCCGGCGCGCAAUGCCCCGCGGCGGACUGAGGUUCGCGCAUCCGCAAGGAUGCUGGCGUAAUGGUCACCAGUGACCCGUCUUGAAACACGGACCAAGGAGUCGUCCUCGUAUGCGAGUGUUCGGGUGUCAAACCCCUACGCGCAAUGAAAGUGAACGCAGGUGAGAGCCUCACGGCGCAUCAUCGACCGAUCCUGAUGUUCUCGGAUGGAUUUGAGUAAGAGCAUACGGGGCCGGACCCGAAAGAAGGUGAACUAUGCCUGUGUAGGGUGAGCCAGAGGAACUCUGGUGGAGGCUCGCACGGGUUCUGACGUGCAAAUCGAUCGUCAAACAUGGGCAUGGGGGC